UACGUAGGGGGCUAGCGUUGUCCGGAAUCAUUGGGCGUAAAGCGCGUGUAGGCGGCCCGGUAAGUCCGCUGUGAAAGUCGGGGGCUCAACCUCGAAUGCCGGUGGAUACUGUCGGGCUAGAGUACGGAAGAGGCGAGUGGAAUUCCUGGUGUAGCGGUGAAAUGCGCAGAUAUCAGGAGGAACACCCAUUGCGAAGGCAGCUCGCUGGGACGUUACUGACGCUGAGACGCGAAAGCGUGGGGAGCAAACAGG
rnacentral:rRNA from 1 species